GACGAACGCUGGCGGCGUGCUUAACACAUGCAAGUCGAACGGAAAGGCCCUGCUUUUGUGGGGUGCUCGAGUGGCGAACGGGUGAGUAACACGUGAGUAACCUGCUCUUGACUUUGGGAUAACUUCAGGAAACUGGGGCUAAUACCGGAUAGGAGCUCCCGCUGCAUGGAGGGGGUUGGAAAGUUUCGGCGGUUGGGGAUGGACGCGCGGCUUAUGAGCUUGUUGGUGGGGUAGUGGCUGACCAAGCCUUUGACGGAUAGCCGGCCUGGGAGGGUGACCGGCCACAUUGGGACUGAGAUACGGCCCAGUCUCCUACGGGAGGCAGCAGUGGGGAAUAUUGCACAAUGGGCGGAAGCCUGAUGCAGCAACGCCGCGGGCGGGAUGACGGCCUUCGGGCUGUAAACCGCUUUAGCCUGUGACGAAGCGUGAGUGACGGUAAUGGGUAAAGAAGCACCGGCUAACUACGUG
rnacentral:rRNA from 1 species